rnacentral:rRNA from 1 species
AUACGGAGGGUGCGAGCGUUAAUCGGAAUUACUGGGCGUAAAGCGUACGUAGGCGGUUGGUUAAGUUAGAUGUGAAAGCCCCGGGCUUAACCUGGGAACUGCAUUUAAAACUGACGAACUAGAGUUGAGUAGAGGGGAGUGAAUUUCAGGUGUAGCGGUGAAAUGCGUAGAGAUCUGAAGGAACACCAGUGGCGAAGGCGACUCCCUGGACUCGAACUGACGCUGAGGUACGAAAGCGUGGGUAGCAAACGGGAUUAGAAACCCUAGUAGUCC